GAAUUUAUCUACAUUUUUUCUUUUAUCUGGACCUCUAGAAAAUCGUAGAUUGUAUUAAGAUGGUGUUGAAAAACUAAAAAUGGUUUGUCAUUAUUUUUUAU
rnacentral:sRNA from 1 species